ensembl:rRNA 5S_rRNA 5S ribosomal RNA
AUCUACAGCUGUGCCACCCUAAACACACCCAAUCCCGUCUGAUCUCGGAAGUUAAGCAGAGUCGGGCUUGGUUAGAAUUUGGAUGGGAGACCACCUAGGAAUACCAGGUGCUGUAGGCA